GGAUGUGAGGGUGACCCCGCUGCAACAUGUGUCACCCCAUUGAUCUCCAGGGUUGAUUUGGCUGAUCUGGCUGGCUAGGCGGGUGUCCUCGUCCUCCCUCAGCGAUCCAUGUGCAGCCCGCCUGAAGCUGCACGCUUGGUCAAAGAAGAUGAUCACCCCAAUAGAGGAGGACCAUUCCUCCAUCAAGGGUAUACCAGUAGCUGCGGAACCUACAAACAAGCUCUCAAGAUGUGUUAUGUACAUGUAUGAAACACGCAUAGAAUGCAAACAUUAUGUACUGCAAACACAUACUAAUAAAAAUUA
ensembl:misc_RNA 7SK 7SK RNA